GCCUACGGGGGGCAGCAGUAGGGAAUUUCCGUCAAUGGGCGCAAGCCUGAACGAGCAAUGCCGCGUGAACGAGGAAGGUCUUCGGAUCGUAAAGUUCUGUUGAAGGGGAAAAAGAGCGGAGAGAGGAAAUGGUCUCCGAUUGAUAUUACCCUUCGAGGAAGUCACGGCUAACUACGUGCCAGCAGCCGCGGUAAUACGUAGGUGGCGAGCGUUAUCCGGAAUGAUUGGGCGUAAAGGGUGCGUAGGCGGCCUGCUAAGUCUGGAGUGAAAGGUACCGGCUCAACCGGUACAGGCUCUGGAAACUG
rnacentral:rRNA from 1 species